rnacentral:rRNA from 1 species
AUGCCUUACACAUGCAAGUCGAACGGCAGCAUGGAGAGCUUGCUCUCUGAUGGCGAGUGGCGAACGGGUGAGUAAAGCAUCGGAACGUACCGUGUAGUGGGGGAUAACGUAGCGAAAGUUACGCUAAUACCGCAUACGCACUGAGGUGGAAAGCAGGGGAUCGCAAGACCUUGCGCUAUACGAGCGGCCGAUGUCAGAUUAGCUAGUUGGUAGGGUAAAGGCCUACCAAGGCGACGAUCUGUAGCGGGUCUGAGAGGAUGAUCCGCCACACUGGGACUGAGACACGGCCCAGACUCCUACGGGAGGCAGCAGUGGGGAUUUUUGGACAAUGGGGGAAACCCUGAUCCAGCCAUGCCGCGUGAGUGAAGAAGGCCUUCGGGUUGUAAAGCUCUUUCGGCUGGGAAGAAAUCGCACAGGCUAAUACCCUGUGUGGAUGACGGUACCAGCAUAAGAAGCACCGGCUAACUACGUGCCAGCAGCCGCGGUAAUACGUAGGGUGCGAGCGUUAAUCGGAAUUACUGGGCGUAAAGCGUGCGCAGGCGGUUAGGUAAGUUUGAUGUGAAAUCCCCGGGCUCCAACCUGGGAACUGCAUUGAAGACUGCCUAACUAGAGUACGGCAGAGGGGGGUGGAAUUCCACGUGUAGCAGUGAAAUGCGUAGAGAUGUGGAGGAACACCGAUGGCGAAGGCAGCCCCCUGGGCCGAUACUGACGCUCAUGCACGAAAGCGUGGGGAGCAAACAGGAUUAGAUACCCUGGUAGUCCACGCCCUAAACGAUGUCAACUAGUUGUUGGUAGGGUUAACCUAUUAGUAACGUAGCUAACGCGUGAAGUUGACCGCCUGGGGAGUACGGUCGGCAAGAUUAAAACUCAAAGGAAUUGAACGGGGACCCGCACAAGCGGUGGAUGAUGUGGAUUAAUUCGAUGCACGCGAAAAACCUUACCUAACCCCUUGACAUGUCAGGAAUCCCGAAGAGAUUUGGGAGUGCCGCAAGGAACCUGACACAGGUGCUGCAUGGCUGUCGUCAGCUCGGUCGUGAGAUGUUGGGUUAAGUCCCGCAACGAGCGCAACCCUUGUCAUUAGUUGCCAUCAUUUAGUUGGGCACUCUAAUGAGACUGCCGGUGACAAACCGGAGGAAGGUGGGGAUGACGUCAAGUCCUCAUGGCCCUUAUGGGUAGGGCUUCACACGUCAUACAAUGGUCGGUACAGAGGGUUGCCAAGCCGCGAGGUGGAGCCAAUCCCAGAAAGCCGAUCGUAGUCCGGAUCGUAGUCUGCAACUCGACUACGUGAAGUCGGAAUCGCUAGUAAUCGCGGAUCAGAAUGCCGCGGUGAAUACGUUCCCGGGUCUUGUACACACCGCCCGUCACACCAUGGGAGUGGGUUUCACCAGAAGUAGCUAGCCUAACCGUAAGGAGGGCGGUUACCACGGUGAGAUUCA